rnacentral:lncRNA from 1 species
AUGCGCAAAAUCUCAAGAACUAUAGGGACCAGGCGGAGGGAGCCACUUAUUCCUCUUCCAGGACUGGGGUCCUUCCGGAGAGAGUCGCGGCGGCGGGGGGCUGGCGGGCCCAGCCGCCGGACCAGGCCAGGGCGGCCCCGCCUGCCCGCCCCGCCUCCCUCCCGGGUUUCUGCCCCGCGCGCGGUUGCUGUGGCAGCGCGGGACGCCGCCGGAACCCCGGCGGCCGCGGCCUCCACCUCGCCCUCGGCGGCCUCCGCGGGACCCCUGCUCGGGCCCAGCCCGCGCUCCGCCAUGCCCCGGGGGAGGCGCGGGGGCCGGGUGAGCGCCCUGGAGGGCGGCCGGGGGGAGGAGGCGCGCCCGGCGGCGGGGGCCGUGCAGUCGGCGCGGCGGGCGUCCGGGCGGCAGCCGGAGGCGGCGGCCGAGCUGAUUCUGCUCCGGGGCAUCUUCGAGAUCGGGAGGGACAGCUGCGACGUGGUGCUGAGCGAGCGGGCCCUGAGGUGGCAGCCCAUCCGGCCCGAGCGUCUCCCAGGUGAUUCCAAGUAUGAUUUUCUACAUAGAGAAGAAUUUGUUGAACUCAAGGACAUAUUCUCUGUCAAACUGAAACGGCGUUGUUCAAUAAAACAGCAGAAAAGUGGUACUUUAUUAGGAAUCACUCUCUUCAUAUGUUUGAAAAAGGAACAAAAUAAAUUAAAGGAUUCUACACUUGAUCUUAUUAAUUUAAGUGAAGACCACUGUGACAUAUGGUUUAGACAGUUCAAGAAAAUUUUGGCAGGAUUUUCAAACAGACCAAAGUCAUUAAAAAUACUUCUUAACCCCCAAAGCCACAAAAAGGAAGCUGCUCAGGUCUAUUAUGAAAAGGUUGAACCACUGUUGAAGAUUGCAGGAAUAAAGACUGAUGUAACAAGAUCUACUAAUGUAUUGGCGCAUUCUCUCCAUGGAGUUUCUCAUGUGAUAACUGCAACUUUGCACAUUAUAAUGGGGCAUAUACAACCAGUCGAUGUCUGUACCUUCAGCACCAUGGGCAAAUUUCUUCGCUUUGGCUUCUCGGCCAUGUUUGGCUUUGGUGGAAGAGCUUUGGCUGUGGCAGAAAAUCAUCGAUGGAUGUCCCCCAACCAGCGGAUGGAUUUUGCUAUCAUGAAGGCACUGGCAAAACUAAAGCCAGAAGAAUGUGAAAUAUCAUUUUUACCAUUUAACAGCUCUCAGGAUUUAGAAGAAAGGAGGGCACAAGGAUAUCCCAAAUCUGAUUGUAAUGAUCAGUGGCAGAUGAUCCAGGGUCAGUUCUUGAAUGUCAGCAUUAUGGCAAUUCCAUGCCGGUGUGCAGUGGCACCUAGAGGCUUGGCACCUAAUACCGGAUUAAAUAAUGGAAGCAUGGCUCUCAUAACUGCACGAAACACUUCACGACCGGAAUUUAUAAAACACCUGAAAAGAUAUGCAAGUAUUAAAAACCAGUUCAAUUUUCCAUUUGUUGAUACUUACACUGUUGAAGAAGUAAAAGUUUGCCCAAGGAGUAACAGCAGUGGACACAAUCCAGAGGAAGAUCAUGGACCACGUGAAACUGCUUCAGGAAACUGUUUCCCUUGGAAUGUAGAUGGUGAUUUAAUGCAAGUUGCAUCAGAGGUCCAUGUUAGAGUACACCCAAGACUUAUCAAUCUUUAUGGAAGAAGCAUGGAAGAAAUGAAUGAUUCCAAAGUAACAUGUAGUUGUUUAUAAGAGGAAUGUGGAAACUAGAAUUUUAAUAUGAAAAUAUAUAUUAUAUUUUAAUUAAUCAGAUAUUUUAAUAAGGAAAAAUAUCUAUUUUGAAAAGGAAUUAAAAUUGCUAUUUUUGACGUUACUAAAAUUAGCUUCUAAACUUAAAAAAAUAAGACAUGAAAUAUAUACAAAACAACUGAAAUUUUGGUUUUUGGAGAGUAUUUAUUGGAAUGGAAAAUAAACAUCUCCGGUAUUUGAAAUUUAAACA